CGCCGUUGUGAGGCGCCGGUCGGCGGUGGCGAGGCCGGGUGGCAGGCUCAGGGCUAAGCGCGGUCUCGGCGGGUGGCGGUUCCGCCAGCGACUGGCGGGGCCGGAGCGAGAUGGAACCGUGACCAGAUUUGUGCUUUCUGCCGAAAGAAGAAAGAGGCUCAGGGCUGAAAGCAGAUGCCACAAGCUUUUCACAAGGAGUGACUGAGGAGAGAGCUGCUGGCAUGGAAUUGAGCUGGGUUUGCCCGUGGGAACUGUGAGUAAGGUUGCCAUCACGAAAGCCAAAGUGGAUUUCUCCGGUGUGGUGUGCCUGCCCCCUUCCGUCAUUGCUGGAAAUG